UCUGACUCUGCUUUAUUCUGCUGUGGCACCACUCUGCCUGUCUGCUACAGGUCUUAUCUCAAAGCUUCACAGCCUACCUUUGGUGUCCAACGUGGAGCCAUGCCAGCCUCUUGGACCCAUGUGGCAAGUCACCUUUGCUGGUUCACCUUGGCCACCCCAGCCUGCAGGAUGGGUCUGAAAGAGGAGGGACGGUUGCUAACCAGGACGGAGGAUGCGGGAGAUUCCUGACUGCUCAGCCAAGGGGGCACGCAAGUUCUCCCAGGUUCUAUUCCGUGGCUCCAUGCAGAUGCAUCUGCCUUCCCACCAGCGGUGUUAAUUAAGCAGCGUCCAUGGGCCCAUAACACCUAGGCAUCGAGCAGACCCAGCGGAACGCAACUCCAAUGACUGAAUUCCUCUCCCAUCACGUGACACGAUGCGUCGAGUCUCAUCCUAUUUACACAGAUGUGGACGGAGUGAGGCCCUAAAAUCCCCUCCAGGUGUUAUUCCUCUUCCCGCCUGUGUGUGGACCUCCUGCGACUGUAAUCUCC
rnacentral:lncRNA from 1 species